AGGCAACCUACUUGUUAAAAAAUUGGUGACAUGAGAGGUGUUUAACUGUUCCUACAUCAAUUGCUUUUGCUCUUCAGAUUUGCUGAGAUUUUAUAGUCUUUGAAGCUGGUCUAGUAGUCUCAAGCACAUU
rfam:Arabis alpina cultivar Pajares chromosome 8, whole genome shotgun sequence.